rnacentral:lncRNA from 1 species
GGAAGACUUAAGAUGGCGGCGUUUGCACGGAGUGCAAUCACUGCGUCCUUACGGGGGUUGCAAGGCGUCCGAAGUAUGAGUCCACUAACAAAAGUCCAGAAACUCGCCAGUUAAUAGUAUUGUGAUGGAGUUCGCUCUUGUUGCCCAGGCUGGAAUGCAAUGGCAUGACCUUGGCUCACUGCAACCUCUGCCUCCCCAGUUCAAGUGGUUCUCCUGCCUCAGCCUCCCGAGUAGCUGAGAUUACAGGUACUGGCUCCUGUAUCACCCAGCUCUGGAGUUGAAAGAGCUCUUCAUUCCUGAGUCUCCUGUACCACUGAGAAUAGGCUGGAGUGCAGUGGCGCAAUCUCGGCUCUCUGCAACCUUCACCUCCCGUGUUCAAGUGAUUCUCCUGCCUCAGCCUCCUGAAUACCUGAGAUUACAAGCAUGCACCACCACGCCCGUCUAAUUUUGUAUUUUCACUAGAGACGGGGUUUCUCCAUGUUGGUCAGGCUGGUCUCGAACUCCCGACCUCAGGUGAUCCGCCCGCCUCAGCCUCCCAAAGUGCUGGGAUUACAGGCAUGAGCCACCGCGUCCAGCAAGAAUAGGUGAUUUUCAAACUUGGAAACAUUCAGAAGUUAUCGCCUCAGUUUCAGAUUGAGUAGUCUCAAAGAGAUUACAGACAUCUACCACAAAUUCUCUACUUGGUGUGGUGCAAAAUCAGUAUGAUGUAAACUUUGUCUCUCAGUUUCUUCAAAGGAAAGAAGCAACUGGAACACACAUAUAACACUAACCCUUCCAGCUGCAUUAUGAGGGACCAGUACCUGUCUCAAGGCAAAAUUAUGACUUAGUUCAUCCUCACCUCUGGAGGCCAGUAAAAGUGGGUUAUAGAAGAACAAAGAGGCAUCUAGAUCUUUCACUGGGUUAUUUGGAGAGAAACAUCUCCUACCGAAGGCCAGUUUAACAAGACUGGUAGAGGAGGUUAUCUUAUCUAAUUCACAGAAAUCAACACAUUGAGUCAAGAAAAAUGAAACACAGAAACACUCUAAAUAAAAGAAGAUAAGUCUUCAGAAACCAACCCUAAUGAAAUGAAGAUAUGUGAUUAACCUGACAGGAAAUUAAAAAGAGCAACCAUAAAGAGUCUCAUGGGAGCAAUGCAUGAACAAACUGAGAAUUUUCAUAAAGAAAUAAAAGAUAACAAAAAGUAUAAAGUUGAAGAAUACAAUAACUGGACUCAAAAAUUUAAUGUGUCCAACAGAAGAAUCGAUGAAGCAGAAGAAAGGGCUAUCAAACUUGUAGAUAGGCCAUUGGAAAUCAUGUAAUGUGAGGAGAAAAAAGAAAAAAGAUUGAAGAUAGUUUAAGAGACUUUUGAGACAUCCUCAAAGGGGAAUAAUUUAUACAUUACCAGAUGGAGAAGAUAGAGGGAAAAGGACAGAAAACAUAUUUGAAGAAAUAAUGUCAGAAAACCUCAUAAUUCUGGCAAGGAAAUAGAAAUUUAGAUCUAAGAAUCUCGAACAUCAGGUAUGAUGAAUCCAAGGAGACUCACACCAAACCAUAUUGUAAUUAAAUAAAGGUUAAAGACAAUCUUCAGAGCAGCAAGGGAAUAGUCUCUUCUUACAUACAAAAUGAUCCACGGAAGACUGUCAGCAGACUUCACCAGAAAACUUUCACGCCAGAAGGCAGUCGUGAUAUAUACAAAAAGCUGAAAGGAAAACACUGCCAUCCAGGAAUACUAUCUCCAACUAUCCUGUGUUUCAAAAAUUAAGGAGAAAUAUAAAGUUCUCAAACAAAAGAUGUGGGAGUUUACCACCACUAGACCUGCACGGGAAGAAUUGCUAAAGGGAGUCCUUCAAGCUGUAGUAAAAGAGUGCUAAUUAGAAACAUGAAAACAAAUACAAAAAAAAUUCUAAAACUUGUAUGGAACUACAAAAGACAUUAAAUAAUCAAAGUAAUCUUGAGCAACAAGGACACAGCUGGAGGCAUCACUCUACCUGAUUUUGUAAUCCAUUAUCAAAAAACUGUGGUACCAGCAUAAAAACAGAUUCACUGACCAGUGGAACAGGAAAGCCCAGACAUAACUCAUACAUUUCCAUCCAAUUGAUUUUUGACAAAAGUGGCACACAGAAUGGGGAGAGGACAAAUAAAUAAAUAAAUUGUUUUGAGAUAUCUGUAUAUCUAUAUGUGAAAUUGAACCAUUUUCUCAUAGCAUAUAGAAAAAUCAACUCAAAAUGGAUUAAAGCCUGAAAUGUUGCCUUUGAAACUGUAAAACUACUAGUAGAAAAUAUAGGGGAAAAGCUCUAUGAUGUUGUUCUGGGCAAUGAUUUCUUGGAUACAUCCUUAAAAGCAUGGGCAGCAAAAACAGCCAGACAACUAUCAGGGAACCUGCCCAGAUAGUCACAUAGGUUCUUUUCUAUUUUCCCUAAGCAUUGGCCGGGUUGAGAAAUAAAGGGACAGAGUACAAAAGAGAGAAAUUUUAAAGCUGGGCAUCCUGGGGAGACAUCACAUGUCGGUAGGUUCCGUGAUGCCCCCUGAGCCGUAAAACCAGUAAGUUUUUAUUAGGGAUUUUCAAAGGGGAGGGAGUAUACGAAUAGGAGGUGGGUCACAGAGAUCACGUGCUUCACAAGGUAAUAGAAUAUCACAAGGCAAAUGGAGGCAGGGCGAGAUCACAGGACCACAGGACUGGGUUGAAAUUAAAAUUGCUAAUGAAGUUUCGGGCACCAUCGUCAUUGAUAACAUCUUAUCAGGAGACAGGGUUUGAGAGCAACCUGUCUGACCAAAAUUUAUUAGGUGGGAAUUUCCUCGUCCUAAUAAGCCUGGGAGCGCUAUGGGAGACUGGGGCUUAUUUCAUCCCUACAGUCUCGACCAUAGAAGACAGCUACACCCAAGGGGGCCAUUUUAGAGGCCCACCCUCAGGGGCACAUUCUCUUUCUCAGGGAUGUUCCUUGCUGAGAAAAAGAAUUCGGCGAUAUUUCUCCCAUUUGCUUUUGAAAGAAGAGAAAUAUGGCUCUGUUCCGCCUGGCUCACCGGCGGUCAGAGUUUAAGGUUAUCUCUCUUAUUCCCUGAACAUUGCUGUUAUCCUGUUCUUUUUUCAAGGUGCCUAGAUUUCAUAUUGUUUAAACACACAUGCUCUACAAUUUCUGCACUUAACACAAUUAUCACAGGGUCCUGAGGCGACAUACGUCCUCCUCGGCUUACGAGAUGACAGGAUUAAGAGAUUAAAACAGGCAUAGGAAAUCACAAGGGUAUUGAUUGGGGAAGUGAUAAGUGUCCAUGAAAUCUUCACAAUUUAUGUUUAGAGAUUGCAGUAAAGACAGGCAUAAGAAAUUAUAAAAGUAUUAAUUUGGGGAACUAAUAAAUGUCCAUGAAAUCUUCACGAUCCACGUUCUUCCGCCAUGGCUUCAGCCAGUCCCUCCGUUUGGGGUCCCUGACUUCCCGCAACAGACAACUUGAGUUGCAUCAAACUAAAAAGCAUCUGCACUGCAAAGGGUACAGUUAACAGAAUGAAGACACGGGUUUUGAGAAACCAUUUUCAAAUCAUAUAUCUGAUAAGGGGCUAAUAUCCAAAAUGUAUUAAGAAACCCAAGCCCAAUAGCAAGAAAACAACUGUCUUUAAAAGGGGGAAAAGGACCUCAACUUAAAUUUUUCAGAGGAAGACAUGAGUGGCCAAUUGAUUGAUACAUGAAAAAAAUGCUCAACAUCUCUAAUCAUUAGUGAGUUGCAAAUCAAAACUGCAAGAUAUUACCUUACACCUUUUAGAAUGGCUAUUAUUAAAAGGAUGAAAGACAGGUGCUGGCAAGGAUGUGGAUAAAAGGAAGUCCCAACAUUCUGUUAGUGGGAAUAUAAAUUAGUAUAGCCAAUUUAGGAAACUAUAUGGUGGUUCCUUAAGAAACUAAAAGUACAAUUACUAUAUGAUCUAGCAAUCUCUACUUAGGUAUAUAUCCAAAGGAAUUGAAGCAGUAUGUUGAGAUCUUGCACUCCCUUAUUUUGAAAUUAUUUACAAAGCUAAUAAAUGGAAAAGACUUAAGUUUUCAUAACAGAUGAAUGGACAUAGAAGAUGUGUUGUAUAUACAUAUUGGAAUAUUUUUUAUCCUUGGAAAAGAAGGAAAAUUGUCAUUUGUGACAACAUGGAUGAAUCUGUAGUAUACUAUGCUAAGUGUUGUAAGACAGGCACAGAGAGGCAAAUACUACAUUAUAUUUGUAUGUGGAAUCUAAGAAAGGCUAACUCAUACAAGUAGAAAGUUGGAUGUUAUGGUUUCCAGGAUGUGGGUGUUGGAGAGAUGGGCAAAGGCAAGACGUUGGUCAAAGAGUACCAAUUUUCUGUUAGGAGGAAUAAGUUUUAGACAUAUUUCACAGCAUGGUGACCAUUGUCACUGACUGUAUAUUUUAAAAUUGUUAUAAGUAGAUAUUAAAGUUGUCACAACAAAAGUAGGUGAAGUUAUGGAUAUGUUAAUGUGCUUGAUUUAGUUAUUACACUAUGUAUACAUACAAAAACAUCAGAUAGUUCCCUGGAAUUAUAUACAAUUAUUACUUGUCAAUUAUAAAAAAAAGCCCUACUGCAACCACUAAAAAGGAUUUUCAUAUAAUAGAGGGAAAAAUCGUUAAAGAUAAUAAUACAUUAUUUUAGAAAAUAUUAACUUAUAAAAAGUAGUAUAGGAGGGAUUCUGUAAAAGAAGAUAGACAUAGAAUUUUAAAAUGUAUAAUGGAAAAUUUAAAUCCAGCUGUACUGAUGGAUCAAGCAAUCCAAACCAGUCUGAUUGACCAAGUGGAUAUUUAAAAAACAAUCAAACUAUAAGGUGUCUGUUGUAGGCAGUUUAUAAAAUACAAAAGUGUUGAAAGAAAUAGGAUGGAAAUAGAAAUAUCCAAGUAGCAACCACAAAAAAACUGGAAUGUCUGCACUAACAUCAUACAAAACAAACCAAAUGAAGGUUAAAAAUAUUGAAAUUAUACAAAAUAUGUUCUAUGACUAAAAUUUAAUGAAAUUAGAAAUAACACAGAGAUAGGAACUAUACAUAUUUGUGCAAAUUUAAAAAGUUAUGCUGAGUGUGGUGGCUCACACCUGUAAUCCCAGCACUUUGGGAGGCCGGGGAGGGUGGAUCACUUGAAGUCAGGAGUUGGAGACCAGCCUGGCCAACAUGGUGAAACCCUGUCUCUACUAAAAAUACAGAAAAUUAGCCAGAUGUGGUGGUGUGCGCCUGUAGUCCCAGCUACUCGGGUGGCUGAGGCACUAGAAUCACUUGAGCCUAGGAGGCAGAGGUGGCAGUGAGCCGAGAUCACACCACUGCACUGCAGCCUGGGCGACAAAGACUGUCAAAAAAAAAAAAAAAAAAAAAAAGUUACGUAACCAACAAGUCAAAGGAGAAUUUAUAAGGAAAUCAGAAAAUACUUUGAGGUGAAUGAAAAUACAGAAACAACAUAUCAAAUUCUGUGAGAUGUGUGAAAGCAACGCUUACAGUGAAAUUAAUAGCUAUGAACAUUGUAAUGAAAUGAGAAGUACUUCAAAUUACUAACCUAACUUUCCAACUUUAGAAAAUACAGUAAAAAAAGAACAAAUUAAAAUCAAAGCAGAAAGGAUAUAAAGUUUAGUGUGGAAAUAGAGAAUUAAAAAUAAUUGAGAAACACAGCACUUCGUUGACUUAUUCAUAAAAUAAAGCUUUAUUAAAAUGAGAAAUGUAAAACGUGAUGUUCCUAAUGACCUUAUUCCAUACAAGGGAUUAGUAUUUUGACAAAUAUCUUUGUGGAAGUAGACAAAUUCCUAGAAAGACACUGACUACCACAACUCAUUCAAGAACAAAGUGAAGACAAUAAAUUGGUAAUUUAAAAACUCUCACCCCUGCCCCUGACACACAUGUAAAUUCCCAGUUCAAAUGUAUUCUUUUGUAUAUUAUACCAAACACAUGAAAAUUACCAAUUCGAUAAAAAUGUCUUAAAAACUUGGAAGAGCAUGUAAUAUUUUUUACUGGUUCUAUGAUGCUAUUGUUAUCUAGAUACCAAAGUGAAACAUCAUACACAGGGAAAACUCUGAUAAUAUCGCUUAUGAGUGGAUCUGUGAAAUUUCCUAGUAAAUUUUGGCAAACCAAAUACAGUAACAUAUAAACAGGAAUGUACACCAGUACCCAGUACAGUGUAUCCCUGGAAUGCAACGUUAUUUCAUCAGCUGGAAAUGAUUAGUGCAACAGACUGAAGGAAGAAAACAACAUGGUCAUCUCAAUAGAUUGUGGACGGCUGGAAGUGGAGGCUCACGCCUGUAAUCCUAAUACUCCUACCAACAGUGUAUAAGCAUUCCUUUUUCUCUGUAACUUCACCAGAAUCUGUUUUUUUGUUUGUUUGUUUGUUUGUUUUUGACUUUGUAAUAGCCAUGGGCUGGGCUCAGUGACUCACGCCUGUAAUCCUAGCACUGGGGGAGGCUGAGGUGGGCGGAUCACUUGAGGUCAGGAGUUCGAGACCAGCCUGGCCAACAUGGUGAAACCCCAUCUCUACUAAAAAUACUAAAAUUACCUGUGCAUGGUGGCAAGUGCCUGUAAUCCCAGCUACUCGGGAGUCUGAGGCAGUAGAAUCACUUGAACCCAGGAGGUGGAGGUUGCAGUGAGCGGAGAUUGUGCCACUGCACUUGGACCUGGCUGACACAGCAAGACUAUGUUUAAAAAAAAAGAGAGAGAAAAAAAAAAUAGAAGGUGGAAAAAGUAUUUGGUAAACUAAGAAGUAAACCACAACCUAGUAAAGGGCAUAUUUUAAGAAUUCACAACUAGAACCUGGUGCCGUGGCUGUAAUCCCAGCACUUGGGGAAGCCAAAGCAGGAUUACUUGAGGCCAGAAGUCUGAGAUCAGCCUAGGCAAUAUAAGGAUACUCUGUAUCUUAAAAAAAAAAAAAAAAUCCAGAUGUGAUGACACAUGCCUGUACGCCUAGCUACUUGGGAAGCUGAGGUUCAUGUUUACAAUGAGCUAUGAUGAUGCCACUGUACUCCUGACUGAACAACAGAGUGAGACCCUGUCUCUAAAAAGCAAAACAAAACAGAAAACCCAAAACCCUCAAAACUAAUGUUACACUUAGUAUUUAAAGAAUGCUUUCUCUGUAAGAAGAGGAGCAAGGACAGGAUAAAACAUUCUUGCCAGUUCUGUUCAACAGUGUACUGGAAGUAUCUGUGACAUUAAUUGCAUUGCAUAUGGAAGGAAAUAAAAUUUUUUAAAUAGGAAGCAGCAAAACCUUUUGCAGAUGACAUGGUUUUGUACAUACACAACCCCAGUGGAUCCAAUAAAUUUGGAUUCCAAUAACAAGAUCAUCUCAGCAAGUUUUUGUGAUUUAAGAUUACAAUCCAAAAAUCAGUUGUAUUUCUAUAUAUUAUUAAAGAAGUCAAAAGUGACAUCAUUGAAACAUUUUUAUUUACAAUAUUAUUAAGGCAAAAUACUGUGGGAUAAAGUGAAAUUCAGCAUGAACUGUGAAUAACACAAAAUAUUUGUCAGAGGAGUUGAGGAAUAUCUACAUAUGUGGAAAGACAUCUCAUAUUUGUGGACUAGAAGAUUUAAGCAUCGCUAGGUGCGGUGGCUCACGCCUGUAAUCCCAGCACUUUGGUAGGCUGAGGUGGGCGGAUCACAAGGUCGGGAGUUCGAGACCAGCCUGGCCAAUAUGGUGAAACCCCGUCUCUACUAAAAAUACAAAAAAAUUAGGCGGGUGUGGUGGCGCAUGCCUGUAAUCCCAAUCCCUCUAGGCUGAGGCAGGAGAAUCUCUUGAUCCCGGGAGGCGGAGGUUGCAGUGAGCCAAGAUCGGGCCACUGCACUCCAGCCUGGGCAACAGAGCUAGGCUCCCUCUCAAAAAAAAAAAAAAAAAAGCAUCAAAAGGAUAGUUCAUUAAUGGAAAUAAUAAAUUGAAAAAGGGAAGGACAUCAAAGUUUAAUGCUUUUACUUUUUCAUAAUAACCAUAAAUAGUAUGAAAAUACAAACUAUAUUCAUGGAAAAUGUUUUGUUUUUAUUUUUUUUGAGACAGAAUUUUGCUCUUGUUUCCCAGGCUGGAGUGCAAUGGCACGAUCUCAGCUCACCACAACCUCUGCCUCCCGGGUUCAAGUGAUUCUCCUGCCUCAACCUCCCAAAUAGAUGGGAUUACAGGCAUGUGCCAGUACGCCCGCCUAAUUUUUUUGUUAUUUCUAGUAGAGAUGAGGUUUCUCCAUGUUGGUCAGGCUGGUCUCGAAUUCCCGACCUCAGGUAAUCUGCUCGCCUCUGCCUCCCAAAGUACUGGGAUUAUAGGUGUGAGCCACCAUGCCCGGCCCUUUGUUUUCAAAUCUCAUAUCCAACAUUGGACUUAUGGCUAGAAUAUUUACAUAAUUCUCAAAAGAUAGUAUUAAAAAUCCAAAGCUUUAAAUUAGAAAAUGGGCAAAAGUCAUGAAAGAACAUUCCCCUGAGGAUAGGGAAAUGUCAAUAAGGACAUGAUGGAAAUUAAUACUAUGAUGAGAUAUUACAGAAGAUUUAUUUUUCUUUGAGGCGGAGUCUGCCUCUGUCACCGAGGCUGGAGUGCAGUGGCAUGAUCUCAGCUCACUGCAACCUCCACCUCCCGGGUUCCAGCGAUUCUCCUGCCUCAGCCUCCCAAGUAGCUGGGAUUACAGGCGCCUGCCACCACGCCCAGCUAAUUUUUUUUUUUUUUUUUUUUUUUGUAUUUUUAGUAGAGACGGGGUUUCUCCAUGUUGGCCAAGCUGGUCUCAAACUCCUGACCUCAGGUGACCCACCUGCCUCAGCCUCCCAAAGUGCUGGAAUUAAGAGGUGUGAGCCACCACACCUGGCCUACAGCAGAUUUAUUUCAGUAGCUGAAAUAGUUAAAACAUAAUGAUUCCAAAGGCUGAGAAGCAUGCAGAAAAAAUUGAAUCUUUAUUGCUGAUGGGAAUAUAAAACUGUAUACCACAUUGGAAAAUAAUUUGGCAAUUUCUUUUAAAGCUAAACACACACAUACAGUUAGUUAGGCUUAGCAAUUGCUGUCAUGGCCUAUUUCAUAGAAAUGAAAAUUUAUGUGUAGACCAAACCUGCACUUGACUGUUCACAGAAAUUUUAUUUGUAAUAGUCAGAACCUGGAAACAACUCACAUGUUAUUCACCAGGUAAACAGUUAAAUAAGUCUGUUAUUUCCGUAUUGUGUAAUACAACUCAAAAAUUAAAAGGAAUAAACUACUACUAUACAAAUAAGCCUUAGAUGAUUCUCAAUUCUGAAGGAAAAACCCAUUUCAAGUUGUAACAUAAUGCUUAUUUUUAUGUAUCUUAAUGUGAUGAAGUUAAAUAGUUUAGAGAACAUUGUUCGUAUUCAUCUGUUAGGGAUGGUAGAAGUUAGGGUUGUAUGUGAUUAUAAGACUAGUGGAAGGGAUACGUUUUUAAUGAUGGAUGAGUUCUGCAUUCUGAUUCAUGCAGUGGUUACAAAAAUGUAUACAUGUGAUAAAAUGUCAUGUAAAUGUGCACAUUUCACCAAUGACAAUGUGCUGGUUGUGAUAUUGUACAAUGUUAAUGGAAAAUAUCACCACUGGGGAAAAUUGAGUGGUAUGUGUAAACGGUACUAUAUUUGCAGCAUUUUGUGAGUCUUUAUUUUAACAUAAUAUGUAAAUAUGUAAAGCAACUAGAAGAAUGGUUUUAAUACAGGAGAGUAACAGCUUAUAAGCAAGAGAAAGAAAAAUGAUAAAUAAUGUGAACACUUACCAAAGGAAGGGUGGAACAGAGAAAUAAAGGACAGGGAAAAUUAUCUGGGAUGAUUCCUAAAUUCCAAUAUUUGGAUGGAACUAUACAGAAUUUUAAUAUAUCUGGAAAAUAAACUGAAAAUAUUAACGGAUCCACAGAUAUUGAAGACUUAACCUUUUUUAUCUCAUUAUUCAUUAAAACAAGUGAAAUGUUAUAGGGAAUUCUUCAAAUUGAAAGAAGCAGCUCAUGCAUAACACAAAAACAUGAAUGUAUAAAACUGACUGGUAAAAGGUAAGUAACUCAAAUUCACAGUACUGGUAUACUGUAAUGGUGGUGUACAAAUAACGUAUAUCUUUAUUGUUAAGGUUAAUACACAAAACUUUUUUAAUGAGAUGGCUGUUGCUAUGUUGCUCAGGCUGGUCUGAAACUUCUGGGCUCAAGCAAUUUUCCCCCCUCAGCCUUCUGAUUAGACGGUAUUAUGGGCACCUGCCAUGAUGUCCAUCUACAAAACUAUUAAUAAUUACAACAAUUUGUUUAGCCAUAUGUGAUAUAAAUAUAUGUAAGGUGUGACAUCAAGAACAUAAUGGGUCACCAAAA